ACUGCAGUGGUCAAGGGGUUACGAUACGGUCCUCCCAAGACCGUGACCUGGGUUCGAGUCCCAGCUGCAGUA
rnacentral:tRNA from 1 species